rnacentral:snRNA from 1 species
GUCUCUUCUCGACUCUCUGAGCUAAGAUCAUGUGUAUUAUCUGUUCUUUGCAGUGUGAUUUCUGCAACGAUCUCUAAACUUUUCUGUAAAUACUAGUUUUUAACUUCCCAUCUUCU